CCGUAGAGAAUACCAAGGCGAUCGGGUGAACUGUGGUUAAGGAACUCGGCAAAUUGCCCCCGUAACUUCGGGAGAAGGGGGACCUCUGUUGGUGAUGGGCUUUACGCCUUGAGCUGGUGGGGGUCGCAGUGGCCAGGGGGAAGCGACUGUUUACUAAAAACACAGGUCCGUGCGAAGUCGUAAGACGAUGUAUACGGACUGACGCCUGCCCGGUGCCGGAACGUUAAGGGGACUGCUUAGUCAACGCGAGUUGGCGAAGGUGAGAACUUAAGCGCCGGUAAACGGCGGUGGUAACUAUAACCAUCCUAAGGUAGCGAAAUUCCUUGUCGGGUAAGUUCCGACCUGCACGAAUGGCGUAACGACUUCCCCGCUGUCUCAACCGCAGACCCGGCGAAAUUGCACUACGAGUAAAGAUGCUCGUUUCGCGCAGCAGGACGGAAAGACCCCGGGACCUUCACUACAGCUUGACAUUGGCGUUUGGAACGUCUUGUGUAGGAUAGGUGGGAGACUGGGAAGCUGUCACGCUAGUGAUGGUGGAGUCAUUGGUGAAAUACCACUCUGGUCGUUUUGAACGCCUAACUCUGGUCCGUGAUCCGGAUCGGGGACAGUGUCUGGUGGGUAGUUUAACUGGGGCGGUUGCCUCCUAAAGAGUAACGGAGGCGCCCAAAGGUUCCCUCAGCCUGGUUGGCAAUCAGGUGUUGAGUGUAAGUGCACAAGGGAGCUUGACUGUGAGACUGACAGGUCGAGCAGGAGCGAAAGCUGGGACUAGUGAUCCGGCAUCGGCGUGUGGAAGCGGUGUCGCUCAACGGCUAAAAGGUACCCCGGGGAUAACAGGCUGAUCUUCCCCAAGAGUCCAUAUCGACGGGAUGGUUUGGCACCUCGAUGUCGGCUCGUCGCAUCCUGGGGCUGGAGUAGGUCCCAAGGGUUGGGCUGUUCGCCCAUUAAAGCGGUACGCGAGCUGGGUUUAGAACGUCGCGAGACAGUUCGGUCCCUAUCCGCUGCGCGCGCAGGAGACUUGAAGGGGGCUGUCCCUAGUACGAGAGGACCGGGACGGACGAACCUCUGGUGUGCCAGUUGUACCGCCAGGUGCACGGCUGGUUGGCUACGUUCGGAAGGGAUAACCGCUGAAAGCAUCUAAGCGGGAAGCUCGCCUUGAGAUGAGGUCUCCCACCCCGUGAGGGGGUAAGGCUCCCGGUAGACGACCGGGUUGAUAGGCCGGAGGUGGAAGCACGGUAACGUGUGGAGCUGACCGGUACUAAUAGGCCGAGGACUUGACCAC
rnacentral:rRNA from 1 species